GGUGACGAAGCGACGCCGCGUGUGGGAUGAAGGCCUUCGGGUUGUAAACCACUGUCGGGAGUUAAGAAUUGUAGGAAUGCUAAUAGUAUUUCUACUUGACUAAGGCUCCGGAGGAAGCCACGGCUAACUCUGUGCCAGCAGUCGCGGUAAUACAGAGGCGGCAAGCGUUGUUCGGAAUUAUUGGGCGUAAAGAGCAUGUAGGCGGCUAUGUAAGUCGGUUGUGAAAGCCUUCCGCUUAACGGAAGAAUGGCGGUCGAAACUGCAUGGCUUGAGUGCGGGAGGGGAGAGUGGAACUUCUGGUGGAGCGGUGAAAUGCGUAGAUAUCAGAAGGAACGUCGGCGGCGAAAGCGACUCUCUAGACCGUAACUGACGCUGAGUGUGCGAAAGCUAGGGGAGCAAACGGGAUUAGAUACCCCGGUAGUCCUAGCCGUAAACGAUGGGCACUAAGUAGAGGGGUUU
rnacentral:rRNA from 1 species